AGAAAACAAAGAAUUUGGGAAGACAAGUGGAAGGCUUAGCAGUGGUAUUCCUCAAGUCCCGCUGAAAAGGGGGGAGUCGGAAUAUGACUCCUUUAGGCAGUCAUUGCCAGUUUUUGAAAAGAAGGAGGAAAUUGUCAAAAUAAUAAAGGAAAAUAAAGUUGUUCUCAUUAUAGGAGAGACUGGAUCAGGAAAAACUACUCAAAUUCCUCAGUUCCUUCUUGAUGACUGCUAUGAAAAUGGAAUUCCUUGUCGUAUAUUCUGCACUCAGCCAAGGCGUUUGGCAGUUAUUGCUGUGGCUGAAAGAGUGGCAGCAGAAAGAAGAGAAAAGGUUGGCCAGACAGUUGGUUAUCAGAUCCGACUAGAAAGCAGGUACUAAUAACAUUUCUUUAAGGCAGCUGACUUGUGUUCACAUGUAUGUUAAAGCUACAGUGUUUUGGGGAUUACAACAUAGAAAAGAGUGCAGAAAUUGUGGGCAGGAUGUGUUGUUUCAGGCAAUUGAGUAUUUGCAAAAGAUAGAUUUCCUUCUACAGGUUGCAGUAUCAAGUAGUAAUCUUUCUUAAGUGAAUCAGAGGCAUAUUCAUUUGAUUUCUACUUGUAGGGAGAGAGAAAUCUCUUGUAGUGUUUUCAGAACAACUAUAUGUUUUCAUCUACUUUUUUCCGUCCAGUCAUAGAUUGGAAAGUUCCAUAAGCUUUGACAAUAUGUAAGAGAACUAGAGCACUUUAACAGAAACUUUAUGGUGAUAGUCUGUUGCAAAUAUAAAGGCAAAGGGUAUGUCUGGCUCUGUUGUUUAUAUGAAUGAAGAUAACACAUAGCUGAUGAAAGAAGAAUUCGAGUGUGUCUAUGAAAACUUAGAAGCAUACUAAGAGAUUUAAAGAGAUAGAGAAGGUUAAUUGCAAAUGAGGUGAAUGGUUAAUAUGUGGAAGUAUUAUAGUAGCUGAAUAUGAACAAGCUAUAGUCCAGAUCAAGAUGAAGAAAUACUGGAAGUAGUGUGGAACAUCUU